CGACCUAGUACUCAGUUCUAGCAAAUAAAAUAAAGAAAGGAAGUAAAAUAAAAUGGCAUUAACUAAAGAACAAAAAGCAAGUAUCGUUAAAGAAUUCGCUCGUGAUGC
rnacentral:ncRNA from 1 species